rnacentral:rRNA from 1 species
CACGCCGUAAACGAUGGGUGCUAGGUGCUGCGGGCUUUGACCCCUGCUGUGCCGUAGCUAACGCAUUAAGCACCCCGCCUGGGAAGUACGGCCGCAAGGCUAAAACUCAAAGGAAUUGACGGGGGCCCGCACAAGCGGUGGAGCAUGUGGUUUAAUUCGACGCAACGCGAAGAACCUUACCUGGGCUAGAAAACAUAGGAACCCUACUGAAAAGCGGGGGUGCUCUUCGGAGAACCUGUGGUUAGGUGC